rnacentral:rRNA from 1 species
AUGAACGCUAGCGGCAGGCCUAAUACAUGCAAGCCGGACGGCAAGUUGAGUAGCAAUACUUGACCUAGAGUGGCGUAAGGGUGCGUAACACGUAUGCAAUCUGCCCACAGCCGGGAGAUAGCCCUCCGAAAGGAGGAUUAAUAUCCCAUAGGAAGAUGAGAUGGCAUCAUUUUAUUUUUAAACUACGGGGGCUGUGGAUGAGCAUGCGGUUGAUUAGCUAGUUGGCGGGGUAAAGGCCCACCAAGGCGAUGAUCAAUAGGGGACCUGAGAGGGUGAUCCCCCACACUGGCACUGAGAUACGGGCCAGACUCCUACGGGAGGCAGCAGUAGGGAAUAUUGGACAAUGGGUGUAAGCCUGAUCCAGCCAUGCCGCGUGCAGGAAGAAGGCCUUCUGGGUUGUAAACUGUCUUUUGCCGGGGGAUAAAAGAUCCAUGCGUGGAGAAUUGAAGGUACCCGGUGAAUAAGCCACGGCUAACUACGUG